rnacentral:rRNA from 1 species
UACGGAGGGUGCAAGCGUUGUCCGGAUUUAUUGGGUUUAAAGGGUGCGUAGGUGGCCUAUUAAGUCAGUGUUUAAAGUCAACAGCUUAACUGUUGGAAUGGCAUUGAUACUGAUGGGCUUGAGUAAAGUUGAGGUAGGCGGAAUUGAAGGUGUAGCGGUGAAAAUGCAUAGAUAUCUUCAAGAACAUCGAUUCGAAGGCAGC